CCUACGGGUGGCUGCAGUCGAGAAUCUUCCGCAAUGGGCGCAAGCCUGACGGAGCGACGCCGCGUGGAGGAAGAAGGCCUUCGGGUUGUAAACUCCUGUCACGACUUACGAAAACCGGGGGAGUAACUACCUCCGGCUGACGAAGGGUCGGAAGGAAGCCACAGCUAACUUCGUGCCAGCAGCUGCGGUAAGACGAAGGUGGCAAGCGUUGUUCGGAUUCACUGGGCAUAAAGGGCGCGUAGGCGGUUCCGCAAGCGGCUUGUGAAAUCCUCUGGCUCAACCAGAGACGGGCAGGCCGGACUGCGGUUCUCGAGGGCGGUAGGGGAGAGUGGAACUCUCGGUGGAGCGGUGAAAUGCGUAGAUAUCGAGAGGAACACCGGUGGCGAAGGCGACUCUCUGGUCCGCCCCUGACGCUGAGGCGCGAAAGCGUGGGUAGCAAACAGGAUUAGAUACCCUUGUAGUC
rnacentral:rRNA from 1 species